UGCCAGACUCCUACGGGAGGCAGCAGUGGGGAAUAUUGGACAAUGGGGGGAACCCUGAUCCAGCGACGCCGCGUGAGUGAAGAAGUAUUUCGGUAUGUAAAGCUCUAUCAGCAGGGAAGAAAGAAAUGACGGUACCUGACUAAGAAGCCCCGGCUAACUACGUGCCAGCAGCCGCGGUAAUACGUAGGGGGCAAGCGUUAUCCGGAUUUACUGGGUGUAAAGGGAGCGUAGACGGCCAGACAAGUCAGAAGUGAAAGCCCAGGGCUCAACCCUGGGACUGCUUUUGAAACUGCCGGGCUGGAGUGCAGGAGAGGUAAGCGGAAUUCCUAGUGUAGCGGUGAAAUGCGUAGAUAUUAGGAGGAACACCAGUGGCGAAGGCGGCUUACUGGACUGUAACUGACGUUGAGGCUCGAAAGCGUGGGGAGCAAACAGGAUUAGAUCCCCCAGUA
rnacentral:rRNA from 1 species